rnacentral:rRNA from 1 species
UUCCAGACUCCUACGGGAGGCAGCAGUGGGGAAUAUUGCACAAUGGGGGAAACCCUGAUGCAGCGACGCCGCGUGAGUGAAGAAGUAUUUCGGUAUGUAAAGCUCUAUCAGCAGGGAAGAAAAUGACGGUACCUGACUAAGAAGCCCCGGCUAACUACGUGCCAGCAGCCGCGGUAAUACGUAGGGGGCAAGCGUUAUCCGGAUUUACUGGGUGUAAAGGGAGCGUAGACGGCAUGGCAAGUCUGAAGUGAAAGCCCGGGGCUCAACCGCGGGACUGCUUUGGAAACUGUUAAGCUGGAGUGCAGGAGAGGUAAGUGGAAUUCCUAGUGUAGCGGUGAAAUGCGUAGAUAUUAGGAGGAACACCAGUGGCGAAGGCGGCUUACUGGACUGUAACUGACGUUGAGGCUCGAAAGCGUGGGGAGCAAACAGGAUUAGAUACCCUCGUACA